rnacentral:misc_RNA from 1 species
UUUCCGUAGGUGAACCUGCGGAAGGAUCAUUAAAGAAUUGCCCCGUCUUCUCGAAGAUGGGUUCUAUUCCAAACCGUGUUUACAUACCUUUGUUGCUUUGGCGGGCCGCCGCUUCGGCGUUGGCUCCGGCCGACUGCGCCCGCCAGAGGACCACAACUCUUUUGUUUAGUAAUGUCUGAGUACUAUAUAACAGUUAAAACUUUCAACAACGGAUCUCUUGGUUCUG